AUGACGCUAGCGGCAUGCUUACACCUGCAGUCUGAACGGCAGCGGGGGAGCUUGCUCCCGCCGGCGAGUGGCGAACGGGUGAGUAAUACAUCGGAACGUACCCAGUAGCGGGGGAUAGCCCGGCGAAAGCCGGAUUAAUACCUGCAUACGCCCUACGGGGGAAAGGGGGGGAUCGCAAGACCUCUCACUAUUGGAUGCGGCCGAUGUGCUGAUUAGCUAGUACAGGUGGGGUAAAAUGCCUACCAAAGCGACGAUCAGUAGCUGGCUCUGAGAGGACGACCAGCCACACUGGGACUGAGACACGGCCCAGACUCCUACGGGAGGCAGCAGUGGGGAAUAUUGGACAAUGGGCGAAAGCCUGAUCCAGCAAUGCCGCGUGUGCGAAGAAGGCCUUCGGGUUGUAAGAGCACUUUUGUCAGGGAAGAAAUCGUUUGGGUUAAUACCCCGAGCAGUUGACGGUACCUGAAGAAUAAGCAGCCGGCUAACUACGUGCCAGCAGCCGCGGUAAUACGUAGGGUGCAAGCGUUAAUCGGAAUUACUGGGCGUAAAGCGUGCGCAGAGUGGUUCUGUCUAAGGACAGUUGUGAAAUCCCCGUGGCUUAACCUGAGAACUGCAAUUGUGACUGGCAGACUACGAGUGAGGCAGAACGGGGGCGGGGAAAU
rnacentral:rRNA from 1 species